GUGUGUUCCAGGUAAAUCCGGUUCACUUUAACACUGAGGCGUGAUGACGAGGCACUACGGUGCUGAAGCAACAAAUGCCCUGCUUCCAGGAAAAGCCUCUAAGCAUCAGGUAACAUCAAAUCGUACCCCAAACCGACACAGGUGGUCAGGUAGAGAAUACCAAGGCGCUUGAGAGAACUCGGGUGAAGGAACUAGGCAAAAUGGUGCCGUAACUUCGGGAGAAGGCACGCUGACACGUAGGUGAAGUGAUUUACUCAUGGAGCUGAAGUCAGUCGAAGAUACCAGCUGGCUGCAACUGUUUAUUAAAAACACAGCACUGUGCAAACACGAAAGUGGACGUAUACGGUGUGACGCCUGCCCGGUGCCGGAAGGUUAAUUGAUGGGGUCAGCGCAAGCGAAGCUCCUGAUCGAAGCCCCGGUAAACGGCGGCCGUAACUAUAACGGUCCUAAGGUAGCGAAAUUCCUUGUCGGGUAAGUUCCGACCUGCACGAAUGGCGUAAUGAUGGCCAGGCUGUCUCCACCCGAGACUCAGUGAAAUUGAACUCGCUGUGAAGAUGCAGUGUACCCGCGGCAAGACGGAAAGACCCCGUGAACCUUUACUAUAGCUUGACACUGAACAUUGAGCCUUGAUGUGUAGGAUAGGUGGGAGGCUUUGAAGUGUGGACGCCAGUCUGCAUGGAGCCGGCCUUGAAAUACCACCCUUUAAUGUUUGAUGUUCUAACGUGGACCCGUGAUCCGGGUUGCGGACAGUGUCUGGUGGGUAGUUUGACUGGGGCGGUCUCCUCCUAAAGAGUAACGGAGGAGCACGAAGGUUGGCUAAUCCUGGUCGGACAUCAGGAGGUUAGUGCAAUGGCAUAAGCCAGCUUGACUGCGAGCGUGACGGCGCGAGCAGGUGCGAAAGCAGGUCAUAGUGAUCCGGUGGUUCUGAAUGGAAGGGCCAUCGCUCAACGGAUAAAAGGUACUCCGGGGAUAACAGGCUGAUACCGCCCAAGAGUUCAUAUCGACGGCGGUGUUUGGCACCUCGAUGUCGGCUCAUCACAUCCUGGGGCUGAAGUAGGUCCCAAGGGUAUGGCUGUUCGCCAUUUAAAGUGGUACGCGAGCUGGGUUUAGAACGUCGUGAGACAGUUCGGUCCCUAUCUGCCGUGGGCGCUGGAGAACUGAGGGGGGCUGCUCCUAGUACGAGAGGACCGGAGUGGACGCAUCACUGGUGUUCGGGUUGUCAUGCCAAUGGCACUGCCCGGUAGCUAAAUGCGGAAGAGAUAAGUGCUGAAAGCAUCUAAGCACGAAACUUGCCCCGAGAUGAGUUCUCCCUGAGACUUUAGGUCUCCUGAAGGAACGUUGAAGACGACGACGUUGAUAGGCCGGGUGUGUAAGCGCAGCGAUGCGUUGAGCUAACCGGUACUAAUGAACCGUGAGGCUUAACCUUACA
rnacentral:rRNA from 3 species